rnacentral:lncRNA from 1 species
UCUCUGACUCACUUUUAGGGUCGACUGAAUGAACUGAUGUCCCAGAUCAGGAUGCAGAAUCAUUUUGGAGCUGUGAAAUCUGAAGAAAAGUAUUACAUAGAUGCAGACCUAUUACGAGAGAUCAAGCAGCAUUUGAAACAGCAACAGGAAGGCCUUAGCCACCUGAUUAGCAUCAUAAAAGACGACCUGGAAGAUAUCAAGCUGGUAGAGCAUGGACUGAAUGAGACCAUCCACAGCAGAGGCGGGGUCUUUAGCUGACCAUUGCGCUGUCCAGAGGUUCAUAAAGCUGUCUGCUUGCUACGUCAGGCCUUCUUUACGAUGACCACAUGGACAGGAAAAGGGUUCUUUUCCUCACUGGGAUGUUUGAGGCUCCUCAGAAAUUACUGUACAUUAAAUCUGAAAUGGUCACCACAAAGCUCUUCAAAGAGAGUCUUUGAAAAGUUUUUGUCUAAAAGCUGUAUUUACUUUUUGAAAAGUAUUACCCAGAGCAUAAACACUGUUGUUCAUUUUAUAACAGCGUUAAGUGUGGUCGUGGGGCUUGGUGGUCAUUCUCCACUCUUCCCAUAGCACAGGAUGAGGCCGAGCUGCUUCCUACGUAACACGACAAGCUAAUCCCCUGCCAGUUGGAGACUGUUCAGAGUCUGUUCAGAGUAUAAAUGCGUCUCAGCUUCUAUAUCUGUGAAAUCAGCUGUGGGAGUAAAGAAAAUCCCAAAGUAUUU